rnacentral:rRNA from 1 species
UACGUAGGGACCAAGCGUUGUUCGGAUUUACUGGGCGUAAAGGGCGCGUAGGCGGUGCGGUAAGUCACUUGUGAAAUCUCUGAGCUUAACUCAGAACGGCCAAGUGAUACUGCAGUGCUAGAGUGCGGAAGGGGCAAUCGGAAUUCUUGGUGUAGCGGUGAAAUGCGUAGAUAUCAAGAGGAACACCUGAGGUGAAGACGGGUUGCUGGGCCGACACGUGA